AAGCAUAUAUUGCUAGUAGUAUAGACCUCAGUAAGGCAAUAAUGUACCAAGGGAUUCACACUAACUCAGAGUUUCUAAAUCGGCACACUAAUGCAAAAAGGCAUCUGUUUGCCCAAAAUCAUGUCCACCCUGUUCAUGUUGGUUAUACAAUUAUGGUUCUUUAUAGGUCCAAAUUAACAAUGCUGAAUAUCUUAUUCUAAAUCUCUUCUCGGUGGGAAAAAAAAAGUAAUUUAUUUACAGAAAACAAUUAGUAUAAACUUUCUUUAACAGAGGGAAAAGACACAAUACAAAUAACUAUACCAAAUAUCAUACGGCAAUCGCAACGAAUUCUGGUAAUGAACUGAAACUCGAAAUCACAAAUCACAUUUGUUUUAAACUGAGAAUUUGGGAUCAGACUGACGUGCAAAACAUAACUCAGCAUAGCAGAAGCCUAUGAGACAGUUUAAUCAUCAUUCCCCAAAAUCCAUGCCAAACAUAAAAUCCAAAGUACAUUAUGAGACAAUUGAAUAACUCAUCCAAAUGUAAAACAAUUUAAAACCUUCAUGAUAAAAUUCAGGGCAAAAAACCCAAAAGAAAAAUCCCAACAACAAAAAUUAGCAUAGAAAUGGUGAUUGGUUGCUCUCAGUCAAGGGCCAAAGUUUUCCACAUAAGAGAACAUAAAAAGAGUUGGGUAUAACCAUCUCAAGAUUUAAGCCAAGAGAAUAACAGAAGGGCUUCAAAUGCUUGGCAAAGCCUUCUUCUCUUCCCUAAAAGAAAGAGUCAGAUAAAAAAAAUAUAUCAACCACCACUCUUAGACAAAAGAGUCAUUAGGCAAUACCAAGCACAGGAAGCACCGCCAUUGAUCUACCUGACUUAAUUCAGAAGAGGGCAAAUCCAACCCUUCAAUUCUCAGUUCGGUGUGGUUAAAGCAAAGGAAAUCAUCAUCGAGCAAAAAAGUGGUAGGUGGGUGUUUGGGAGAUGAGAAAAUUGUGGCACUUACGAGAAAAGGUCAGAACCCAAUAGAGUAUGAGAGCCUGCCAGUCCAGAAGAACCAAUCCUUUCGGAUUUGAUUUCGCAUCGCUUCGUAGUCUCUAGGCUACAAAGAAGAGCAGAGAGGUUCAUAGUAGAUGCCUUCUGCAAAUCCUAAAAAUCAAAUAUAAACAAUACGACUCUUUAGAUUUUAUAAAAUGAAACUUUUGAAAAAGAAGAUUUGCAAAGAGAUGAAAGACGUUGAGCAGCUGCAGAGUUGUUUGUGGUUGAUUUUAUAUAGAAGCAGAAAUUAGGGUUUGUGGGUGCAUUUCUUCAAUUGUCCGCGAUGUUCAUUAGAAUUACAAAAUCAC
rnacentral:lncRNA from 1 species